rnacentral:rRNA from 1 species
GACGAACGCUGGCGGCGUGCCUAAUACAUGCAAGUAGAACGCUGAAGGAGUAGCUUGCUUCUCUUGAUGAGUUGCGAACGGGUGAGUAACGCGUAGGUAACCUGCCUUGUAGCGUGGGAUAACUAUUGGAAACGAUAGCUAAUACCGCAUAACAGUAGAUCUCGCAUGAUAUCUACUUGAAAUUCGCAAUUUCCUCACUACCAGAUGGACCUGCCGUGUAUUAGCUAGGUGGUGGGGUAACGGCUCACCAAGGCGACGAUACAUAGCCGACCUGAGAGGGUGAUCGGCCAAACUGGGACUGAGACACGGCCCAGACUCCUACGGGAGGCAGCAGUAGGGAAUCAUUGGCAAAGGACGGAAGUCUGACCGAGCAAAGACGGGGGAGGGAAGAAGGUUUUCGGAUCGGAAAGCUCUGUUGGAAGAGAAGAACGAGUGUGAGAGUGGAAAGUUCACACUGUGACGGUAUCUUACCAGAAAGGGACGGCUAACUACGUG